rnacentral:misc_RNA from 1 species
GAAGAAAGAUAAAGAUAUUCUAGAUGCUUAAACUGUCCCAAGUUACCCGGGAGACUGCCACUAAAAUUAUUAGAUUCAAGAAUCAAAGUCUUUAAAUUACUUUGGAUGCAACCAGAUGAGCUACCAAAAGAUCCAGAAAUAUCACCACGGAAUUUGUUAUCAGCCAAGUUUAGCUCAAUCAAACUGCACAGAUUCCUUAAUGUUCCAGGGAUUUCACCCUCAAGCUCAUUCUCAGAUAGGUCAAGGAAAGAAAGAUAAUUAUAAUUACCCAUCUGACUGGAUAUGGAGCCUUGGAAAACAUUUUCACUUAAAUCAAGAUACUUGAUGUUGCUAAUAUUAAACAACCACAGGGGAAUGG